UUUCCGUAGGUGAACCUGCGGAAGGAUCAUUAUUGAAUAAACCUGAUGUGGCUGUUAGCUGGCUUUUCGAAGCAUGUGCUCGUCCGUCAUCUUUAUCUCUCCACCUGUGCACAUUUUGUAGUCUUGGAUACCUCUCGAGGCAACUCGGAUUUUAGGGUCGCUGUGCUGUACAAGUCGGCUUUCCUUUCAUUUCCAAGACUAUGUUUUUAUAUACACCAAAGUAUGUUUAAAGAAUGUCAUCAAUAGGAACUUGUUUCCUAUAUAAUUAUGCAACUUUCAGCAACGGAUCUCUUGGCUCUC
rnacentral:misc_RNA from 1 species